UUAGAGUUUGAUCCUGGCUCAGGAUGAACGCUAGCUACGGGCUUAACACAUGCAAGUCGAACGGAUUCUGGAUUCGUCUGGAAUUAGUGGCAAACGGGUGAGUAACACGUAUCCAACCACCCUGCGACUCGGGGAUAGCCUCUUGAAAGGGAGAUUAAUAUCCGAUGUACUGUUUUUGGUGCAUGCCAUUUUCAGUAAAGUUUUUUUACGGUCGCUGACGGGGAUGCGUUCCAUUAGAUAGUCGGUGUGGUAACGGCUCACCGAGUCUAUGAUGGAUAGGGGUUCUGAGAGGAAGGUCCCCCACAUUGGAACUGCGACACGGUCCAAACUCCUACGGGAGGCAGCAGUGAGGAAUAUUGGUCAAUGGGCGAAAGCCUGAACCAGCUAUGUAGCGUGAAGGAUGACUGCCCUAUGGGUUGUAAACUGCUUUUAUAUUGGAAGAAUUGCGCUUACGAGUUAAGCGUUUGACGGUACAUUAUGAAUAAGGAUCGGCUAACUCCGUGUCAGCAGCCGCGGUAAUACGGAGGAUCCGAGCGUUAUCCGGAUUUAUUGGGUUUAAAGGGUGAGUAGGCGGUAGUAUAAGUCAGCGGAGAAAAACUUGCAGCUCAACUGUAAGCUUGCCGUUGAAACUGUAUUUACUUGAGUUAAGUUGAGGUAUGCGGAAUGUGGUGUGUAGCGGUGAAAUGCAUAAAAUAUCCCACAGAACGUCGAUUGCGAAGGCAGCAUACUUAAGUUUAUACUGACGCUGAUGCACGAAAGCGUGGGGAUCAAACAGGAUUAGAUACCCUGGUAGUCCACGCCGUAAACUAUGAUUACUGGUUGUUUGCGAUACACUGCAAGUGACUGAGCGAAAGCAUUAAGUAAUCCACCUGGGGAGUACGUCGGCAACGAUGAAACUCAAAGGAAUUGACGGGGGCCCGCACAAGCGGAGGAACAUGUGGUUUAAUUCGAUGAUACGCGAGGAACCUUACCUGGGUUUAAAUGGGGAGUGACAGGCUUGGAAACAGGCCCUUCUUCGGACACUCUUCAAGGUGCUGCAUGGUUGUCGUCAGCUCGUGCCGUGAGGUGUCGGGUUAAGUCCCAUAACGAGCGCAACCCCUAUCGAUAGUUACCAGCACGUUACGGUGGGGACUCUAUCGAGACUGCCGGUGUAAACCGUGAGGAGGGUGGGGAUGACGUCAAAUCAGCACGGCCCUUACAUCCAGGGCUACACACGUGUUACAAUGGCCGGUACAAAGGGCAGCUACACAGCGAUGUGAUGCUAAUCUCCAAAACCACUCUCAGUUCGGAUCGGAGUCUGCAACUCGACUUCGUGAAGCUGGAUUCGCUAGUAAUCGCGCAUCAGCCACGGCGCGGUGAAUACGUUCCCGGGCCUUGUACACACCGCCCGUCA
rnacentral:rRNA from 1 species